AUGGAUAAGAAACAAGAGGAAUUCGAGGAGAAAAAGAAUAAGAGAAAGAUAACUCAUCAAAGAGGAAAGAAACAAGAUUCAUCAUCAUCAAUAUUGAGUUCAAAGAGUAUAGUGGAAAAGAAGAUGAAAGAAUUGGAAAUGUUGGAGAUGAGUAAUAUGGAUUAUAUAUUAGACAUUGAAGAGGUUCUUCAUUACUAUACUAGACUCACUUGUCCUUCAUAUGUUGAAAUUGUUGAUAAAUUCUUCAUGGAAAUGUAUUCUGAGUUCUUGGAUUCUCCAAAGAAGAUGUGA